CACAGAAAGGCGCUCAAGCACCCGUUUCAACGUGUUAUUGGUAUCCUCCCAGACAGGACCGCAUCUGACACGCACACCUGGGCUUUCUUCUCAGCGCACAUUUGAUUUACACUCUGCUCCUGAGCAUCAUCCAGAAACUAAGAAGUGCUAAAAUGAAUGGAUGCAGCGCCGGCGGAGUGGAUCGGGGGUCGAUCCACAGUCUCCUGUCUCACUUCCGAUGAACCACCACUGCCCGGCCCGUCUGCUGCCUCGAUCGGAUCAUGCCAUGAGAAGCCCAGGAGACUUCACUCUGUGUGCCAGCGCUUACUGUCCUGCCUGCUGGCCUUGUGUGGUGGCCAGAUGAGCUGUAGAUGCAGAAGGAGUGCUGACCCAAGCCAGAGUAGGACUCAAGGUGAUGAUCAAGAGCUGCUUGGUACCUCAGUUGAAGAAACUGAUCCAGCACCAGUGCCAAGUUCCGUAAAGCCCUGGCUUUGAAUGUGCAAAAUGAAGCUAUUACUGCUGCUGCAUUUAAAAUACCUCCU
rnacentral:lncRNA from 1 species